UACGGAGGGUGCAAGCGUUAUCCGGAUUCACUGGGUUUAAAGGGUGCGUAGGCGGCCACCGCAAGUCGACUGUGAAAUCUCCGGGCUUAACCCGGAAAGGUCAGCCGAUACUGCGGGGCUAGAGUGCAGAAGGGGCAACUGGAAUUCUCGGUGUAGCGGUGAAAUGCGUAGAUAUCGAGAGGAACACCUGCGGCGAAGGCGGGUUGCUGGGCUGACACUGACGCUGAUGCGCGAAAGCUAGGGGAGCGAACGGG
rnacentral:rRNA from 1 species